AAGCCAUGGUGUGGGCAAUCAAGUAAGAGCUCUUUGAACCACUCCCAACACUGGAAAAAUAUUUCACCAUUUUUUGUGAAAAUUUCAUGAUAUUUUUUUCAGUGU